UUUAACCCAGAAGGAGAGGGCAGCAGCUUCUAAAAUUUAGCCUCACCUUGACCAUCUCCAGGGACAGAGAAUUCAUUACCUACAUGGGGUUUGAGCCAGCUGAAACAGAGAAGAACAGGUCCCAGCUGGCCCCAGCACAUCACUGGCUGAAUCCAUGGUCUGGUCUUAGUCACUGCUCUGAUUCUAACCUGCCCUAUACAUUCUGGCUUGGUUUCCACAUCUACACAACAGAAGUAAGAACAGCUGUCUUCACAUGCCCCACAGAGGUCAUCAGUUCUAAAGAGACAGGGGCCCAGAAGAGAAGCCGGCAGCUCAUCCUUCACAUGACUGUUUAAGCCUGGACCAGGAAGAGGAACAACUGUACAUACACACGGGUCAUCACAGGCAAGAUCCUGAUGGCAGUCUAGCAUGAUGCGCUCACACGAUGACAACUGAAACUUCAAGAGGGGAGGAGUUUCUUCAGUGAUGGAGCUGAGCUCGGGUCAGGUCGCCUUGAUGCCAAGGUCAGUGUUUGCUUCAUGGAGUCAGGCCUGGUAGGGGAGGCAUGCCGGUUAAAGGAGGCACUCCAUUAGAAGGUCCUUCGGAAAUCAUCCUGGAGCAAAAGCAUUUGUUAUGGUUCCAACAGGGUGUAUGAAACUUGUCCUUAUUGGAUCUUUGCUUCCUCUUCUGUAAAUUGGGAAUUCCUUCUCGACCUACUUUGCAGAGGUCCGACAGCAUUGUUGGUAUGCAAAGCACGGCAGCCUCCUCCCAGGAGUUGGGGCAGCAGCAGCAGAGAGGGAGCCAGGAAUUCAGAGGGAAAGCAGGACCUGCAGGAUGGCCCCUGGGAUCACAUUCGGGACUUCUGACUUCUGGAGAAGACUGCACCCCAGGUGGCCAGGGACAAGGCCAGCCUGAUAUUAGGGUGUCACCAGGUUCUGAGGCAAAGUUGGUAGAGUUUCUUUCACUUUCUCCCUCCAUGCCUUUGCUCCCUCCUCUCUGUCCACCUGGCUCUCCCUGACACUGCUAUCUUGGUCCAGGUGCAAAU
rnacentral:lncRNA from 1 species